UGUUUAACGGCCGCGGUAUCCUAACCGCGCGAAGGUAGCGUAAUCACUUGUCUUUUAAAUGGAGACCUGUAUGAAUGGCAUAACGAGGACUUAACUGUCUCCUUUCCCUGGUCAAUGAAACUGAUCUGCCCGUGCAGAAGCGGACAUAACAACAUAAGACGAGAAGACCCUAUGGAGCUUUAGGCAAAUGAUCAUGUACACCCAGCCCUCUUUUUUACCAAGAACCGGGAAAAUAUACGCUUAUGAUCAAUAUGCCUUCGGUUGGGGCGACCGUGGAGGAGAGAAAAGCCUCCAUGUAGAACGGGAAAACCCUUAAACUAAGACAAACAAGUCUAAGUAUCAGAAACUCUGACUAAGCAUGACCCAGGCCGAGCCUGAUCAACGAACCAAGUUACCCUAGGGAUAACAGCGCAAUUCCCUCCCAGAGUCCAUAUCGACGAGGGGGUUUACGACCUCGAUGUUGGAUCAGGACAUCCUAAUGGUGCAGCCGCUAUUAAGGGUUCGUUUGUUCAACGAUU
rnacentral:rRNA from 1 species